UUCCUCUACCGCUCUGGUAGUCAUCUUCUUCCUAAACCCCAAUUCAUUUCCUUUUAGCUUCGGCUUCUUCGCAUCUACUUCACCAUCUCAUCCUGCAACUCCCUACAUCACUUCGAUGGAGCUCUCCAUCUCCCACACUUUCCACCCUUCCUCCUUCCCUUUUACGAUUCUUCCCUGUUUUCCCAUUCCAUUUUCUCCAUCUACCCACUAUCCCACCUUCUUCGUUGGUUCUAUCUAAGUCGUGCAUGUUCAUCUAGCAACUUCACUGAUGCCAUUCCCAUGUUCUGCAUGCAACCUCUGUUGCGACCAUCACCAUCAAAUCGAACUUUGAAGCUGUUUCUCCUAUCGCGACGAUGGACCUAGUUGAAGAUGCUCGAUUAGCUGCCUUAUGUAGCCGAUUAGGCAAACUUUGGUCAUCUAAUGCAAUUGAAGCUUGGGACGAUGCUCCUCCUGCAGCCACAAUAGAAGAAUGUAAGUUAACUCUUGUCGGUAAACUCUUAGCCAACUCAAAUGUCAAUUUUCCUGCUUUCCAGCAAACUAUGAAAAAAGCCUAGCGGAUAGACAAUGUAAAUGUUACUCCAAGAGAAGAAGGGUUCUAUGUUUUCAAAUUUAUAUCAGAAGCAGACAAACUGAAGGUUCUUGACAAUGGACCCUGGUUAUUCACUAAUAAUUUGCUUCUCCUCAAGCCUUGGGUUCCUAAUACGCCCCUGCACUGCUGCAAUUUCACAACUUGUGCCUUUUGGUUACAAAUCUUGGGCUUACCCCUUAAGCGAUGCACUGAGCAAUUCCUGAGAAGAAUCGCACAGGAUGUCGGCCAGCCUCUAGAGGUCUGGAUUGAUGCAAAAGAAGGACCUACAUCUAGAGCAAUAAGAGUUAAGGUCGAUCUUCCUCUCACAGAACCUCUCAAACCAGGCAAACUUAUACGUGUGGAAGGGAAAAAUAUUUGGCUCGACUUUUGUUAUGAACAGUUGCCACAUUACUGUUAUUCCUGUGGUGUUUUGGGCCACUACGCCUCAUAUUGCAAAGAAAUUCCCUAUGAUGAGACUCAGUUUGAUAGGAGAGACAACAUGUAUCAUGGACAGUGGUUACGCGCUAAAGCUAAUGAACAUAGUCCCUAUUGGCAGACAUUUUAUGAAUUUCACAUUAACCCGGAGGACAUUGAAGAAAGUGUACCUGAAACACCUCAACCAGGGCUUCUUUUACUUCCUCCUGCCCCUGUGGAGAUACCAACUUAGCCAGUUUCUACUGAUACACACACCAUUCAGAAUCUU
rnacentral:lncRNA from 1 species